rnacentral:rRNA from 1 species
GACGAACGCUGGCGGCGUGCUUAACACAUGCAAGUCGAACGGAAAGGCCCCUUUGGGGGUACUCGAGUGGCGAACGGGUGAGUAACACGUGAGUAACCUGCCCUUGACUUCGGGAUAACUUCAGGAAACUGGGGCUAAUACCGGAUAGGAAUCCUUGCUGCAUGGUGGGGGUUGGAAAGCUUCGGCGGUUUUGGAUGGACUCGCGGCUUAUCAGCUUGUUGGUGGGGUAGUGGCUUACCAAGGCUUUGACGGGUAGCCGGCCUGAGAGGGCGACCGGCCACAUUGGGACUGAGAUACGGCCCAGACUCCUACGGGAGGCAGCAGUGGGGAAUAUUGCACAAUGGGCGGAAGCCUGAUGCAGAAACGCCGCGUGCGGGAGGACGGCCUUCGGGUUGUAAACCGCUUUCAGCAGGGGCGAAGCUUGUGGUGACGGUACCUGCAGAAGAAGCACCGGCUAACUACGUG